rnacentral:pre_miRNA from 1 species
AGGCUUAGCCUCGCCUUGAUUGGGUGAGCUCGGGCUUGCCCAGAUCCGGUGAGCCCGAGCUCGCCCAGCCACCGGCGAGGCUUGUUGG